GGCAAAUGGACGAGCAAAGCAGACGAGUAGAGCUCACAUGAAUGAGAAAAUACAUCCGUCCUGGAAGUUUUUUGCGUCACACCACGAUAAAUGCAGAGUUUAUCUUCACUGUGUGGACCCUAAAACCUAACGGAGGGACACGAUGUGCGUGCUCCUUGGACCUUUUUUUCUGUUUGGUUAAAUUCAUUGAGGACCACCGAGGGGAAAAACGGGCGUCGACGGCGUGUCGGGCUGCGUCAUCUUCUCAGCGUUCUCAACGGUCAUCGACCAUCUUGCCAUCUACCAGAGCCAAUCUCUCAUCUCUUUUUCUUCUUCUUUCUAACUUUUCCAUCUAUCUCCCUCUCAAGAACAUCUCACUCAGGCAACUGCGUGCCGGAUCCGGCCCCAGCUCGCCAGAUCCGCAUAGCAAUCACACCCGCUUAACGUCAGUGCGCCAGAUGCGGCCCGGAUCAGCACUAUGACAGACCAAAUGAUAGGUUACGCACCGUUCCAGGGAGGACCUUGCAGACCGGACGUGCUCAAACUCCUGCUUAACGUCAGUGUACCAGAUGCGGCCUGGAUCGGCACUAGGACAGUUUUGCCUUAUUUGUCGCCUUAAUUGCACAGAUGAGUGAGCCGGGGACCAUGUGCCGCUGAUCAUCGUCAGCAGCCAACUUAAAACCGGUCCUUGGCCUCACAUCAUCACCAGAUCAACAACUCACCUACAGAUCCUAUACUGCUUGCCUGGCAAAACACCUGCCUGCCCGUUUACCUGUUCUAUCACCAAAUUGCCCACUGGAUUCUUUGGACACUAUCUUACACUUCCUCUCAUCGUCAAUGAAUUAGGUUCUCCAUUACCCCAGAAUCUUAACAAAUACAAUAUGUUGUUUACUGUCUAAAAAUGGGCCAUCUUUAAUGUUGAGU